ACCACAGAGAGAGCUAUCCGUGGACAGUGAGCUUUCGACCGACUGUCAUGGAGUUGCUCUCUUUAUGGAGA
rnacentral:pre_miRNA from 1 species